UACGGAGGGUGCAAGCGUUAAUCGGAAUUACUGGGCGUAAAGCGCGCGUAGGUGGCCUGAUAAGCCGGAUGUGAAAGCCCCGGGCUCAACCUGGGAACGGCAUUCGGAACGGGCAAGCUGGAGUACAGGAGAGGAAGGUAGAAUUCCCGGUGUAGCGGUGAAAUGCGUAGAGAUCGGGAGGAAUACCAGUGGCGAAGGCGGCCUUCUGGGCUGACACUGACGCUGAGGUGCGAAAGCGUGGGUAGCAAACAGG
rnacentral:misc_RNA from 1 species